CAGAGAUGCCGUCCUUCAGCAGAAGAGGGUGGCCUGCAACGGGCUGCCAUUGGCCGAGCUGCAGGGCAACCCGGUGGCCGGCUUGGCGGCCCCCGUAGCCCCCGGCAAGCAAGUCUUAAUCAAUCCUUUAGUGGACAAGAGCUCGGGCACUGUGGUGUGUGUUAUCCUGGUUUACUGCGGGCAACUUUCCGACUCCGAUGAGCAAAACCUCCGGGCUUUGGAGAAGCAUGUC